AUUGAACGCUGGCGGCAGGCCUAACACAUGCAAGUCGAACGAGUGGCGGACGGGUGAGUAAUGUCUGGGAAACUGCCCGAUGGAGGGGGAUAACUACUGGAAACGGUAGCUAAUACCCCGUACCAUCGGCUGUGCCCAGAUGGGAUUAGCUUGUAGGUGAGGUAACGGCUCACCUGGGCGACGAUCCCUAGCUGGUCUGAGAGGAGGACCAGCAAAGGUGGAAGUGAGACACGGUCAAGACACCUACGGGAGGCAGGAGGGGGGAAUAUUGCACAAUGGGAGGAAGCCUGAUGCAGCCAUGCCGCGUGUAGGAAGAAGGCUUUCGGGUUGUAAAGUACUUGCAGCGGGGAGGCGUUACCCGCAGAAGAAGCACCGGCUAACUCCGUGCCAGCCGCCGCGGUAAUAC
rnacentral:rRNA from 1 species